GCGCCAGUAGUGUAGGGGAAUCAUGCAAGAUUCCCAUUUCCUGCGACCCGGGUCCGAUUCCCGGCUGGUGCA